rnacentral:rRNA from 1 species
GGAAGGAGUUUCCCGGGCGUAACCCGGUAGGGCCGAGGUAGACAGGUGGUGCAUGGUUGUCGUCAGCUCGUGUCGUGAGAUGUUGGGUUAAGUCCCGCAACGAGCGCAACCCCUACGUUUAGUUGCUAACGCGUGAAGGCGAGCACUCUAGACGAACUGCCGUUGACAAAACGGAGGAAGGUGGGAUGACGUCAAAUCAUCAUGCCCCUUAUGUUCUGGGCUACACACGUGCUACAAUGGCCGGUACAGACGGACGCAAAGCCGCGAGGUGGAGCAAAUCCUAAAAAGCCGGUCUCAGUUCGGAUUGCAGGCUGCAAUUCGCCUGCAUGAAGUCGGAAUCGCUAGUAAUCGCAGGUCAGCAUACUGCGGUGAAUACGUUCCCGGGCCUU